GACGAACGCUGGCGGCGUGCCUAAUACAUGCAAGUAGAACGCUGAAGAGAGGAGCUUACUCUUCUUGGAUGAGUUGCGAACGGGUGAGUAACGCGUAGGUAACCUGCCUUGUAGCGGGGGAUAACUAUUGGAAACGAUAGCUAAUACCGCACAACAAUGGAUGACACAUGUCAUUUAUUUGAAAGGGGCAAUUGCUCCACUACAAGAUGGACCUGCGUUGUAUUAGCUAGUAGGUGAGGUAAUGGCUCACCUAGGCGACGAUACAUAGCCGACCUGAGAGGGUGAUCGGCCACACUGGGACUGAGACACGGCCCAGACUCCUACGGGAGGCAGCAGUAGGGAAUCUUCGGCAAUGGGGGCAACCCUGACCGAGCAACGCCGCGUGAGUGAAGAAGGGUUUCGGAUCGUAAAGCUCUGUUGUAAGUCAAGAACGGGUGUGAGAGUGGAAAGUUCACACUGUGACGGUAGCUUACCAGAAAGGGACGGCUAACUACGUG
rnacentral:rRNA from 1 species